ensembl:lncRNA novel transcript
GCAACGCGUUCCCCAUGGCAGCAGCCAAUGCUGCAGAGAAGUGGGCAUGACCGGAACUAAGUGGGCUUGCAGAAUCACAGGCCCCUCAGAAACCUGCAGGGUGGACAGCAAAGAAAAGGAGGCCAGAGGCCUGUGGCAGCCUGUCCCCAAGCCACACAGCCAGGAGAUGGCAGGGCUGGGACCAGCGGGCGACAUGUGGAGAGCUCUUUCUGGUGUUGGAAAAACACAGUGGAGCCAUUCAUAAUGCUGGUGUUAAGGGGCAGAAGAAAUGCCCCCUUGGUGACAGACAUCCCCAUGUCCAGGCUCCAGUGCAACCUGGGACUCUGAGCCGGCACAUGACAUCCAUGAGGAUGAGCUCCAUGCAAGCCAGGACUUCCCCUGCACAGGACUCUCCCCUGGAGCAGCCACAGCAAAGCACCUAGAACAUGUGGCUGUAACAGCAAGUGGGUUUCCAGAUCCCGGAUCUCCUCCACCUGCUUCAUCUGAUUUGAAUCACCCAACAGCACUGUACACAGGGGAUUACACGCCAUUCCCAUUUCAGGGAGUGAAACUGAAGCAAUGCUCUUCUGUAGCUCAGAGGCUUUGCAAAUGCUGUUACUCCUGCUCAGAUUACUUUUCAAUGUGACCAUCAUAAAGUGGGCCAGAGUGAAGCAUGUAAAGCACUUAGAAGCCCUGAGCCACCAUUUAAGAAGCCUGGCUGCCCUGAAGCCACCGCCGGGAGAGAGAAGCCUGAGACGCCCCAGCACCCCGCAGCCCAGCCAUUUGAGACAUUCCAGCCCAGAUGCCCGGAGAAAAAGGCUUUGAGAUGAGCCCAGGCCCAGCCACCAUCUCAUGCAGCUGGUGAGAGAUCCUGAUUGAGACCCACAAUGCUGACCCCAGGCAAGAUCUGGAUUGGGGAGCCACUGUUUGGGGGUAUUUCGUUACACAGCAAUAGCUGAGCCCCCCUUGGACUCUAGGGCCCUUGAGGAGAGGGUGACCAAAGCUGACAAAUUGCCGUAAAGAGACCAUGCCCCAGCUGAGCCGCCCUCAGCAAGAGCCUUGUGGGGACUAUGACUUCCGGUUUCAGCAGCAUUUCAGGAAACGCCGGUGACAAGGCUUUGGGAAGGGUGAUGACAGUGAGGGCGGGGAUGCUUGACUCUCCAGACAGUGACGAUUCAGGCGGGAAACAGCAGCUACUUUGCUACAGGGAUCCACGAAAGUGUCCAAGGAGGAGACGAGGCCGUAGCUGAGUGCACAGUGGGCACCCGGUGGAGGGGGGUUCACGUGCAUUGUCACUUCUGCUCUCCCACCGCCCUGGGAGUCAGGCACGAUUAGAACUCCAUCUCUGGAGAGGAGGCUGGGAGAUGUAGAAUAACUCAUCCAGGACACAGCCUGUAACUCCUGGAGCUUGGAUUUGAACAAGCGCUUCGUGGAGCACAGAGAAGACUGGUAGGAUGGACAGUGGAUGAACGACGUUCUCAGUCUGUCCCCGGGAUCCGGGUCAUACACAGACCUCACACUCCACAUGCAGAGUAACAAAGCAAAGCCUCCUUUGUAAGAGAGUGACAGUACAAUGAGUUCAUGCUCGGAAGGAAGCACCAGGCAAGUCCCUGCACACAAUGGGCCCCUUAAGCAGGAGCUGAGUUCAGUGUCUCCUCUACUGCUCACAUCAUCCCUGCAAUGCGGGCUUCCUAAGCUCUCCUUUUCUCUAGGCUGCCAUUUACUGAACCACACUCUGUGCCAAGCAAGAUGCUAAAGGCUUUCUACGCACUUCUUCCUGAGCUCUCACAACAAUCCUAUUGACAGGUGCUCCAACGAUCUCCUUUUUGCUAAAGAGUUAACCGAGGCUUAGUGAGAUUGGGUGGCAUCCUUGGUCCCCAGAGAGCAUGUGGUCCUGAUUUGAACCCAGCAACGAUCCCAGGCUCGCUCGGCUCUGACCUCACUUCCGCACACCACACUCGUGGAAGCUUUUAUUGUACCCCUCAUAAGACGGAGAAACCGAGGCUCUGGGAGAGCAAAUGGCAUGGCCAAGCACCCCAGGCCAACCCUGGUGGGCAGCUUAUACUCGACUUGAAUCCUCCUGUCUGAAAUAUGCGUUCCACUCUUCCCCACAGGACCCAAUGCAGCAGUUCCGGAAGGAGGAAUUCUGGCCCCCAUUUGCCAUAGUUGGAAAGCAGAUUCAUGUUGCAUUCCCUUUGCCAAUUUGCUUGCAGCGGGUUGAUGAGGAGCAGCUCCCAGCUUGUCCCAGCCUUCAUGUGGUAGGGGCUUCCAGCAACCCCCCCGCCCCAGCAAGGUCCUCACAGCGCCCCAACACUGUGGGGCUGUCCCAGCAGUGAGGCGAUUAGCA